AUUGAACGCUGGCGACAUGCCUUACACAUGCAAGUCGAACGGCAGCACGGGUGCUUGCACCUGGUGGCGAGUGGCGAACGGGUGAGUAAUACAUCGGAACAUGUCCUGUAGUGGGGGAUAGCCCGGCGAAAGCCGGAUUAAUACCGCAUACGAUCUACGGAUGAAAGCGGGGGACCUUCGGGCCUCGCGCUAUAGAGUUGGCCGAUGGCUGAUUAGCUAGUUGGUGGGGUAAAGGCCUACCAAGGCGACGAUCAGUAGCUGGUCUGAGAGGACGACCAGUCACACUGGGACUGAGACACGGCCCAGACUCCUACGGGAGGCAGCAGUGGGGAAUUUUGGACAAUGGGCGAAAGCCUGAUCCAGCAAUGCCGCGUGUGUGAAGAAGGCCUUCGGGUUGUAAAGCACUUUUGUCCGGAAAGAAAUCCUUGGCCCUAAUACGGUCGGGGGAUGACGGUACCGGAAGAAUAAGCACCGGCUAACUACGUG
rnacentral:rRNA from 1 species